GAUGAACGCUGGCGGCGUGCCUAAUACAUGCAAGUCGAGCGAACAGAUAAGGAGCUUGCUCCUUUGACGUUAGCGGCGGACGGGUGAGUAACACGUGGGUAACCUACCUAUAAGACUGGAAUAACUCCGGGAAACCGGGGCUAAUGCCGGAUAACAUGUUGAACCGCAUGGUUCUACAGUGAAAGGCGGCUUUGCUGUCACUUAUAGAUGGACCCGCGCCGUAUUAGCUAGUUGGUGAGGUAACGGCUCACCAAGGCAACGAUACGUAGCCGACCUGAGAGGGUGAUCAGCCACACUGGAACUGAGACACGGUCCAGACUCCUACGGGAGGCAGCAGUAGGGAAUCUUCCGCAAUGGGCGAAAGCCUGACGGAGCAACGCCGCGUGAGUGAUGAAGGUCUUCGGAUCGUAAAACUCUGUUAUUAGGGAAGAACAAAUGCGUAAGUAACUGUGCGCGUCUUGACGGUACCUAAUCAGAAAGCCACGGCUAACUACGUG
rnacentral:rRNA from 1 species